rnacentral:tRNA from 1 species
GAGGGCAUAGCUCAGUGGUAGAAUGCGUGCUCAGCAUGCACGAGGUCCUGGGUUCAGUCCCUAGUACCUCCA